rnacentral:rRNA from 1 species
AGUGUAGGUGGCCAGGCAAGUCAGAAGUGAAAGCCCGGGGCUCAACCCCGGGACUGCUUUUGAAACUGCAGGGCUAGAGUGCAGGAGGGGCAAGUGGAAUUCCUAGUGUAGCGGUGAAAUGCGUAGAUAUUAGGAGGAACACCAGUGGCGAAGGCGGCUUGCUGGACUGUAACUGACACUGAGGCUCGAAAGCGUGGGGAGCAAACA